rnacentral:rRNA from 1 species
GAUGAACGCUGGCUGUAUGCCUAAUACAUGCAAGUCGAGCGAACAGAUGAAGUGCUUGCACUUCUGACGUUAGCGGCGAACGGGUGAGUAACACGUAAGGAAUCUACCUAUAAGCGGGGGAUAACAUUCGGAAACGGGUGCUAAUACCGCAUAAUAUCUUCUUCCGCAUGGAAGAAGAUUGAAAGACGGCUCUGCUGUCACUUAUAGAUGACCUUGCGGUGCAUUAGUUAGUUGGUGGGGUAACGGCCUACCAAGACGAUGAUGCAUAGCCGACCUGAGAGGGUGAUCGGCCACAUUGGGACUGAGACACGGCCCAAACUCCUACGGGAGGCAGCAGUAGGGAAUCUUCCGCAAUGGGCGAAAGCCUGACGGAGCAAUGCCGCGUGAGUGAAGAAGGCCUUCGGGUCGUAAAACUCUGUUAUAAGAGAAGAACAAAUUGUAGAGUAACUGCUACAGUCUUGACGGUAUCUUAUCAGAAAGCCACGGCUAACUACGUGCCAGCCGCCGCCGUAA